GCCGAAGUGGCGGAAUGGCAGACGCGCCGGAUUCAAAAUCCGGUUCACCUGACAGUGAGUGUGGGUUCGAGUCCCACCUUCGGCA
rnacentral:tRNA from 1 species